rnacentral:piRNA from 1 species
UAGUGGAUCAGUCUUUUGCUUGCACC